UCUCCCCUCCCCGCAAGUGCUUUGGCACCGCCACCCCUGGGAGCUCCUUCCUUCGGGUUUAUUGAUGGACCUGGGCCUCGGGCCAAACUCUGAAGCCCUUCCUAGGGCGGUAUCUCUGGAGCCCCUCCAAGCUGAGGCCCAGGGGUCAGUCUGCAAAAGAGAUCCCCGCCAGCCUGGCAUUACAAGAUGGAGAGCCUCCUCCUAGAAGCCCCCCCGGAAUCAUGCUGACCUAGGGAACAAACGUGGGCUCCUGUCUGGCUGGGCGUUAGGUAGCUGGAACCAGAGAGAGACCAUGGGGAACCCCUGAAGCUACUGAAGCAGGGCAGUCAGACAUAGACUUUAGGAAAAUCUCUUCCUUAGACCGAUGAGGACAAAUGAAAAUGGGCAAUACUAAGAGCAGGACACCACUUGGGCAAUUAGAGUAUGCAGAUGAGACUGAGUGGACCUGAACUAAGGCGAUUGUGGGGUAAGUAAACAGAAAAGGCAAUAUGUGACAGGAUGUUCUGAGCGAAGGACAAGAUACAGCACACAAUUGGGAUAGGGAAGAAUGGAGAAUGAGCAAAGGAAGCUGGAAAAUGGAGGGGACUCAUGAUAGAACUUAGGCAGAGAUCCCCAUCCCAGCUCAGGAGAAGGAACCUUCAAAAGAUCUGUAGCAGUGAAACAGGAUCCAAGUCUAAAACCCUCCACCACCCACACACACAAACACCGCCCCCGCCCCCCCCCCCCCCAACAAUGACUCGGGAUUCCUACGGAACUUGGGUCCUUUGGAUAGAACUUUGAGGAGCACAUCUGGGAUUCCCAAUUCUACCUUCCUCUCUUCCCCUCUAGCUCUUAGCUCUGACCCACUUCCACUGGCAUGAAGACCUUAACCAAGACACAUGCACUGAUGGGUGGAUGCAAUGGCCUGCCCAGCCACCUUGGACCACAAAUCUUGGCGAAAGUUCAAACCAUUGAGUCUCCUCUUUGACUUGCCUUUGGGAGGGUCUGAAAGCUCCUUCAUAAAAGCUCACAGUCUCCUGUGUCAAGCUCUCCAAGUGCUGGCUCACUAAUAAGCAGGAAGAUUAUGGAAUUUUUCAAAGCCUCCACAGGAAGACUGAGGACCCAGGGAAGAAAAGAACCCAGGUUUUCCUGACUCCAGGCCCUGCACUCUGUCCACUGCACCACCUAGAUGCCCAGUGUACACAUGUGAGUAAAUUGAAAAUAGAUACAAUGAAAAUCCAAAUUUGGGGUGGCCUGUGUCGGAAGAGAAUUUUUCUCUCCAUUAUGUCGCUUUGUUAGCGUCACCCCUCAGUGACGGGGAGGUCAAGGUAUGGACAGGCCCUCAGAGAAAGGAAGUUGGAGAACCCAGGAACCCAUGAGGCAGGAAGCUGAUUCCACAGGCAGUGGCAUCACUGGGAGGCCCAAGCAAAUUAAGAAACUAUGAUUGGUUCCUGAGAUGUGAUGGGGAAGAGCUAGUGGGUGGAGAGAACAGCUUCUAAGUGCAAGACCAGCAAGUUCCUGGGGGAUUCUGGCUGGAGCAAGGAACCUGAAUGAACUCUCAAUGGUGGUGAGCUUCAAUCCAUCAUGGUGGCCAAUAGAGUAGUGAGCUAAUUAACUCUACCUCUUUCCUACCUUUCCUUCUCUCUAUUCUUAUUACUUUGAUUUAAUAAAGUUUGAAAGCUACUCUCAGCCUCUUAAUUUUAAUUAUGACACCUGGGGGAAUGUGGGAUGCAGCUUUUCUAGAGGAAGAGGUAAGAAGGAAACACAUUCAUUAUAGACAAUGGGAGAGGCAGGAGAUGAAAUCUUAUUUUAGGGGAAUCAAGUAUAACCCUGUCUUGCUGGAAUGCACCAUAGGUGAGAGAAUUAGAGAAAUCUGGGGAAAGAGAUUGGAACCAAAUAAUGAAGAGGUUUUGAUUUUUCGGAUGUUAUUAUUGCUGCCUUUUGCUCUUUCAUCCAAUUAAUUUUCACAGGUCCCUCUCUAAUCCCCUCCUCAUCCGAGAACCCUUCCUGGUAAAGAUAAAAACAAACAAAAUGAACCAAUGCCUCAACUAUAUCUGACCAAUGUCAAAUCAGCAAGCCUUUAUUAGAUGCCUACUGUAUGCCCGUAAAUGGACGGAUGUGUGUCUUCUCAUGUCUUCUCUGAAUGGACCCAUCCACCAUCACCUCACAAACUACAGACUUGUCCUUUGGGCCUUAUUGCUCCUGUGGAUUCUAUUGUUAACCUGGUCCUGCUUCUUUCGUGGGACAUCAGGUCAGGGAAGUGGUCUCAUGGCUGCUCUCUAAAUUCCUCACAUCGUCCUAAGAUUCCGUGUCAUUCAGAUACUGCCCUGUGUUUAACUGUUCCCCAAGUGAUGGGGAUCCACCUUAUUUCUCUAACUCUUUGCUACUAAAAAUGUGCUGCCAUGAAGAUUUUGUGCUGGGAUCAAGCCAUUCUUUCUUUGAGCUGCUUAGGGCCUAUUCUUGCCCGCCCUGUGAUCUCUGGAUUCAUGGGCAAGGGCGCUUUUAUCACAUACCGUCUAAUUGCUUUCCAGAACAUCUGGGCCCUGGAUGGGUCCCCCAGUGGUGUAUUAGCGUCGUUGUCUGCUUGCAUCAAUGCCAUCAUGAACUGUUUCCACCUUGUGUGAUUUCCCCAGGCUUCUGAGAGGCAAGCAGCCAGGAUUAUGGUGGUUUCUUCAUUUCUCUUAUCAUUGCGAUUUCAAGUAAUUUUUCUUAGGAUUGCUAAAGGUUUGGGUCAUUUUUAUUUGAAGAAUUGAUUCUCCAUUGGAGAGGAGGGGCCCCCUUCCUCAUCACCACUGCCGACUGCUGAGCAACCUGGGGUCCUGGGAGUGUCGGCAUCCCCCUGCCCCCCAGUCUGGUUUUACAGCUCAGCCCUCCUAGCUACCAUCCAGGAAGGUGGCUCCCAUGAGAAGCAGCCCACCUUCCCCCCAUCCAACAGAGGCUAGCUAGAGCAGCAGGGUACCCUGAGGAGGAGGCAGAAGGUCAAACCACCCCCAUCCUCACCGCCACCUGCCCCCAGACCCUGAUGGAGAGAGCCCAGGACAGCCUUGGGAAGAGCAAUGCUUCCAGCCAGGGCCCAGGCCAAAGUGGUACCAGAUAGCCCUGGGUUCUGUGGAAAGGGAACGUUCCCGGGCUCGGGAUCAGAGAUAUUUCUUCCUAAGGGCAGUGGAUCAGGAAUUUGACCUCCGAUGUCCUGGUCUUGCAUGGAAGAAUCUUUUCUCUGCCCUCCGGUGGGCCUUUUGUCCGUGCUAUCUGGCUUGGUGUAUCAGCUGUUUCGCUUUAGUAUACAACUGAAUUGCAGAUUGGAAAAUUCUCCUUUAAUAAUUUCUCAUUAACUUUUUUAAACCCCUCCCUUUGGUUUUAGAAUCAAUGCUGUGAAAUGAUUCAAGGCAGAAGAGCUGUAAGGCUCUGGGGGUCAAGUGACUUGCCCAGGGUCCCACAGCGAGGAAGUGUUGAGGUCACAUUUGAACCCAGGACCUCCAUUUCUGGGCCUGGCUCUCCAUCCACCGAGCCGCCUCACCGCUUCUCUUACUUCUUCAUCUUAAAAGAACUAGAAGAAUUGGGAACAAGUGCCCAGGGCUCCUAGAUGUCCCACAACGGAUGACUUCCCACUUGGACUCCUGCUUCUCCCAUUGUAUGGGGGAGCCGGGAGCAAAAGGCAACUAAAAAAACUCGUCUGCUCUACCUGGCGCCCUGGCCUGUGACUCUGGGAAGGGUGGCCAGAAGCCUCCUGGCCAGAGAGGGCUGACGCAACAGGGCUCUGUUGUCCUGCCCAAAGGCGUCCGCCUCCCUUGCCCAGAAUCUUCCAAGUCUGGAGACUGGAGAUGGCCCAGGCCAGGAGGUGACGCUGGCCAUGUCUGCCCAAGCCAGAGCAGCUGCUUCCGCUGCCUUCGUGCCCUUUGGAGCUAGGAAGAGCUUGACCACACCAGAAGUUUCUGUUGGAUCUUGGAGGAAGCAGGAUGGCACCAGAGGCCUUCUGGGGCAGGGCAGUGCCCAGACUUCCCCGGAGCAGGCACUGCGGUGGCUGAGAAGGGAGAGAUGAGGAGGGCCUGGACUGGGCAUGGCGCUGUGCGGGCGGAUUAGCCAAGCGGACCAGACCGACAGGAAAUUCCUGGGCAGCUCGGAACAGGGAACUCCUCUCUGAAAAGAGUUUCUAGCAAGAAGACGCAAAAGUUAGUGAAAAGGGGCGAGCAGGGAGCUCUUCCGGGCCCAGCACCUAUCUGGGCAGCAGGCCGGUCAGACUAACCGACUCCCAGCAGAGAAAGGGGAGGAAGGAGAG